GUCUACGGCCAUACCACCCUGAACGCGCCCGAUCUCGUCUGAUCUCAGAAGCUAAGCAGGGUCGGGCCUGGUUAGUACUUGGAUGGAAGAUGAGAGUGGUCUUCUUUGACC
ensembl:rRNA 5S_rRNA 5S ribosomal RNA